rnacentral:rRNA from 1 species
UAGUCCACGCCGUAAACGAUGUCAACUAGCCGUUGGGAAUUUUACAUUCUUAGUGGCGUAGCUAACGCACUAAGUUGACCGCCUGGGGAGUACGGACGCAAGUUUAAAACUCAAAUGAAUUGACGGGGGCCCGCACAAGCGGUGGAGCAUGUGGUUUAAUUCGAUGCAACGCGAAGAACCUUACCAAUCCUUGACAUCCAGAGAAUUUACUAGAGAUAGUUUAGUGCCUUCGGGAACUCUGAGACAGGUGCUGCAUGGCUGUCGUCAGCUCGUGUUGUGAGAUGUUCGGUUAAGUCCGGCAACGAGCGCAACCCACAUCUUUAGUUGCCAGCAGUUCGGCUGGGCACUCUAAAGAAACUGCCCGUGAUAAGCGGGAGGAAGGUGUGGAUGACGUCAAGUCCUCAUGGCCCUUACGGGUUGGGCUACACACGUGCUACAAUGGCCGUGACAAAGAGUUGCUACUUUGUGAAAACAAGCUAAUCUCAUAAACGCGGCCUCAGUUCGGAUUGC